rnacentral:rRNA from 1 species
AUUGAACGCUGGCGGCAGGCCUAACACAUGCAAGUCGAGCGGAUGAAGGGAGCUUGCUCCUGGAUUCAGCGGCGGACGGGUGAGUAAUGCUUAGGAAUCUGCCUGGUAGUGGGGGAUAACGUCCGGAAACGGGCGCUAAUACCGCAUACGUCUUGAGGGAGAAAGUGGGGGAUCUUCGGAUCUCACGCUAUCAGAUGAGCCUAGGUCGGAUUAGCUAGUUGGUGGGGUAAAGGCCUACCAAGGCGACGAUCCGUAACUGGUCUGAGAGGAUGAUCAGUCACACUGGAACUGAGACACGGUCCAGACUCCUACGGGAGGCAGCAGUGGGGAAUAUUGGACAAUGGGCGAAAGCCUGAUCCAGCCAUGCCGCGUGUAUGAAGAAGGUCUUCGGAUUGUAAAGCACUUUAAGUUGGGAGGAAGGGCAGUAAGUUAAUACCUUGCUGUUUUGACGUUACCAACAGAAUAAGCACCGGCUAACUUCGUG